CGUAGUCACAUGAACAGCACUGAUGUCACGACAGGUAUGACUUUAAAUCAGCCGUAGUCACAUGAACAGCACUGAUGUCACGACAGGUAUGACUUUAUAUCAGCCGUAGUCAACUGAACAGCACUGAUGUCACGACAGGUAUGACUUUAUAUCAGCCGUAGUCAACUGAACGGCACUGGUGUCACGACAGGUAUGACUUUAUAUCAGCCGUAGUCACAUGAACAGCACUGAUGUCACGACAGGUAUGACUUUAUAUCAGCCGUAGUCAACUGAACGGCACUGGUGUCACGACAGGUAUGACUUUAUAUUAGCCGUAGUCACAUGAACAGCACUGAUGUCACGACAGGUAUGACUUUAUAUCAGCCGUAGUCACAUGAACAGCACUGAUGUCACGACAGGUAUGACUUUAUAUCAGCCGUAGUCACAUGAACAGCACUGAUGUCACGACAGGUAUGACUUUAUAUCAGCCGUAGUCACAUGAACAGCACUGAUGUCACGACAGGUAUGACUUUAUAUCAGCAGUAGUCACAUGAACAGCACUGGUGUCACGACAGGUAUGACUUUAUAUCAGCCGUAGUCACAUGAACAGCACUGGUGUCACGACAGGUAUGACUUUAUAUCAGCAGUAGUCACAUGAACAGCACUGGUGUCACGACAGGUAUGACUUUAAAUCAGCCGUAGUCACAUGAACAGCACUGGUGUCACGACAGGUAUGACUUUAUAUUAGCCGUAGUCACAUGAACAGCACUGAUGUCACGACAGGUAUGACUUUAUAUCAGCAGUAGUCACAUGAACAGCACUGGUGUCACGACAGGUAUGACUUUAAAUCAGCCGUAGUCACAUGAACAGCACUGAUGUCACGACAGAUAUUACUUUAAAUCAGCCGGGGUCAAAUGAACAGCACUGAUGUCACGACAGGUAUGACUUUAAAUCAGCCGGGGUCAAAUGAACAGCACUGGUGUCACGACAGGUAUGACUUUAAAUCAGCCGGGGUCAAAUGAACAGCACUGGUGUCACGACAGGUAUGACUUUAAAUCAGCCGGGGUCAAAUGAACAGCACUGGUGUCACGACAGGUAUGACUUUAAAUCAGCCGGGGUCAAAUGAACAGCA